rnacentral:snRNA from 1 species
UCUACUUCUUGGCCUUUUGGCUUAGAUCAAUUGUAGUAUCUGUUCUUAUCAGUUUGAUAUCUGAUAUAGCCUCUAUCUGAGGACUCCAUAUUAAAUGGAUUUGGGGGGCUAAAAAUUUUGUGAGCCAGUCUGGCCUUGUGUUUAGCGUGUCAGACUCUUA